ACCAAGGCAGCCACAGAGCUCAACAAGCCUCACUUCAAGGAAGACUGAAACAUCCCUUCUGCAACCCAUAAGGAUGCUCUUGCAGUAUAAUGUUUCUAGAUGGUUAUAAUAGCACUCAACAGAAGACUGUGGCCAAGCAAAUCCAGGGAGGCACAUAAACUGGAUGUAAUGAUAAUGGCACAAACAUAGGAGAACCAAGGAUCGCUGCACUUGCUUUAUGGCAGCAGCAGGGACACCAAUGAGGAGGCUGCUGGACAAUCCAGACACGAGAUGAUGACAGUUCGGACCAGAAUAGUGGCAGAAGGGAUGGUAAAAAGUGUUGGAAUUCCUGGUAAAUUAUGAAGACUCUCGGAAAGCAUUUUCUGCAUCCUGCUGGUGGUGGAAGCAUUUUCUCUACAGAAAGUUGUGGAGAUGCUUGAAGAAGUGGUAGUCGGUUGGCAAGAGGUCAGGUGAAUCUAGCGGAUGAGGCAAAACUUCGUAGCCCAAUUUGUUCAAGUUCUGAAGCAUUGGUUAUGCAAUGUGUGGUCAGGCGU